UUAAGCAUAUAAGUAAGCGGAGGACAAGAAACUAAAUAGGAUUCCCUCAGUAAUGGCGAAUGAACAGGGAUAAGCUCAGCAUGGAAAUUGGGGCCUCUGGCCUUGAAUUGUAGUCUUGAGAUGGCAUUGCCAGUGGAGGCGCAGAUGUAAGCCUCUUGGAAAAGAGCAUCAAUGAGGGUGAGAGUCCCGUUUGUCAUCUGCAGUCCCCCAUAAACGGUGUGCUUUCUAAGAGUCACGUUCCUUGGGAUUGGAGCGCAAAUUGGGUGGUAAAUUUCAUCUAAAGCUAAAUAUUGGUUCGAGACCGAUAGCAAACAAGUACCAUGAGGGAAAGGUGAAAAGGACUUUGAAAAGAGAGUUAAAAGUGCCUGAAAUUGCUGAAAGGGAAGCGAAUGGAACCAGUCUUCUGGGCGAGAUUGUUGCGCGCUACUGUGAUUGCCUGCUGCUUCAACGCAAGUGUCGCAGUGGGUUUUGAGCAUGACGUGCGCUUUGUUUCUUGCCUCGUGUGUCAACGUCGGUUCGGACUUGAGGAAAACUCCAGGGACAUGGUAAAUCGCUCGUGGGUGAUUGAAUGUGCUUGGCAGAACUCAUUUCUUAACUGAUUUCUGCAUGUCUGGUCGCAGUGCCUCGUUGCCUGCGCUCGCUGCCUCGGGUCUGGAGCUUCAGCUCUUCCUCGUUGCUUUGAGCCUGGUCGUGUGGCAUCUCCCUGACAUAAGUACGAUGACAAAAUGGUUUCAUUCGACCCGUCUUGAAACACGGACCAAGGAGUCUAACAUAUGUGCAAGUUCACGGGUGUUAAACCUGAUUGCGCAAUGAAAGUGACUGCUGGGAUAUUUGCACCAGCAACCGACCAAUCAAUUGUGAGAGGUUUGAGUAUGAGCAUAUCUGUUAGGACCCGAAAGAUGGUGAACUAUGCCUGAGAAGGGUGAAGUCAGGGGAAACUCUGAUGGAGGCUCGUAGCGAUACUGACGUG
rnacentral:rRNA from 1 species